UGUAGUCCUACUUGUACAGUUUAUCAAGAUUACGUUUUAUUUUAUGUAUAUAUUUUCUAAUUAUUAUUCUCAUCUUUAUCAUAUCCAUAUUUAUUCAAAUAUUCUUUCCUGUGUGAAAAUAAUAAUAAUCACUUGGUUAAUUGCAACACCUUCUUUGGUCCAAUUGCAUUAGAUUAUCAUCACUGUUGUCCGAUUAAAACAAAAAACAAAACUAAAACUAAACCUAAAGAAAAACCAAUUGGCCAUAAUGUGGAUAUCCACUGCGUGUCUCCCUGUGACUCUCUCCCUCCCUCAGGAGAACGCGCUCUCUCUCUCCCUCCUCAGUACGGGGUGCUGUUUGGUGCAAGUCAACAGAUAAGGGUGGAAUGUGGCUUCUCUCUCUCUCUCUGCGUGUCUCUCUCCCACGUUGGGUGCGGCCAUAACGCCUUGAAGCGCGCGUGCUCCGGGGGCUGGGUGUGGGAGAAGCCAGCAGAGGGGUUGUUUAGGUGAAGCCUAUGGACAGAGACUACAAAGAACUUCAAACAUGGCAGACAGGGAACUACAAAUUUAUCAAAGCCUGAAAACUCAACAGAGCUCUCUACCUGCAUUCCUGGGAUAUGUGGUAUUCUAUGGCGUAUGGCCACCACAUGCUUUUACUUUUAGGAGAGUACACUCUCUAUAUCCUUUCUCUGUACUGUGUGUUAGUGCGUCUCUCUGUACUGCCUGAAUGGUUUAGGUCGACAAAUGGGGGUGAAAUGUGUUCUCUCUCUCUCACCCUUCCUCACUCCCCUUAGGGUCAAGCAGCACCUAGGACUGUUAACAGAUAAGCCUGGAAUGCAAUAUCCUCCACUCCCUAUCGUGGAACAAGGCCUAGUAACUAUCUCACACAAUUUUAAGCACAUAAGCUGCCCCCACAUAGCCACUAGGAAGCAGGAUCGAACACACAAGCUGCAUUACCCUCACAUAGCCACUAGGAAGCAGGAUCGAACACACAAGCUGCAUUACCUUCACAUAGCCACUAGGAAGCAGGAUCGAACACACAAGCUGCAAUAACUACUCCAGCCACAGAUGGCAUCACCUUUAGACAGGUGAGGAGUGCGGCGGCAAUAUGUCACACCGGCCACGCCCACUUCACAUAGGCCACGCCCACUUGAUAGAAACCAGCGCAGAGUUCAGAUUUAGGCCAGAACUAAUAGGUAGCCCCGCCGAGAGGACCGGGCCUAAGCCCGGGACUCGAAGUAGUGCACGAUAUUAUUUUCAAUACGUGUUGGAUACAAUUCCCUCUCUUUUGCUUCAUAGUUACCAUAGUUACCAGUUAGGCCUACUUUAACAAAUAAAGUGAGUUAAAUGCGACAACGGAUUGGACUACUUUCUUCAGAAAAAAAAAAACACACAAAGAGAUCCUUCUGUCCCUGCAUUCACAAUCCCAUCUUGCCACAUCCGUUCCCAAAUAACUUUUCACUAUUAUAAAUAACUUUACUGGUGCUCCCCCUUUCCAGAUUUCUACAGUUUCAAGACUACGAAGCUGACCACCGAAAUUGGUACAGGCCUCGUCAGGCCUCACCAAAAUACCCUCACAGGUUCUAACUUCCAUACGAUUCAAGGGAGGGGAACUGCAACACGAGUUGGAGUAGAGGACUUCAACUAUGGGGGACGGGUACUAAAAGAUCUCGGGGCCUGACAGCUAAACGGAGUCUCUGUCCGUGUUUCUGAAGCAACCGUCCACUCUCAGAAGAACACCCUGUCUAUCGCUCCCUCCAACAGACUAGAGGAGGGAAAGUGGUCCCUCUCGAUCGUCCUCCGACUUUAGCCCUCCUUGUUUAUCUCUCGCUCCCUCUCACACAAACGCACAUUGACAUGUGCAUGCUGUCUGUCAUUCACACUGACUUCACACACAGCUUCUCUCGUACCCACAAAGAUUAACAAACUAACAAUUAAUAUGAACAGAUCAUAAAGUCAGACACCCGCACUCCAUUAGCAGCCAGGAGGCUUGCUCCUCUAUCUGCUACAGUGCACCUCUCACACACACGGACCUCUCUCAUUCUGUCUCCUCUAAACGCACACACAGAAAAAUACCAACAGAACUCCACAGCAAAAUAGCUUUACAUAGCGAGUGAACGUUGCGCACAUAGCGAGGUUAUUCACACAAAAAGCCUUGUUAUUGAAGCAGGGUAGCACCACAUGGAUAGCAGUGUUGCUGUGUCAGAUUCCAACCGAUGCCUUCUCACUGCAAGGAGAAUCUUCUCUGGACCCGCCAGACUUCUAUCACGCACGUUGCCCUUUAAGCCGGACCACAAGUGUCCCUCGACUUCUAACAUCUAUGCGGAGCCAGACUUAAUGUCCCUCGACCCCUUGUUGAAGCCAGACUAUAUAGAGUCCCUCAACUUCUAACAAAUGUAUACAAUUCUGACCCUUUGCUUCCUCCAUUAGUCAUACAAAAAAUAUUAUUUUAAUUCAAUCUCCUUCAGGGCUCUCAGCGAUUUUUCAAAGCGUACACGGCGUGAUGUUGGCUUCAACCACUUCCACCUAACAUUUCUAAGUCUAAUCCUAAUGCAGGUUCAGUCUUAAAGACAAUAGGUUCUGCUAACCUGUUUUGUGGCGCCUGGGGAAGGGAUGGUGAGCCACGCCUGUCGCUCGCCUCUGCAGCUCUCCCGGUCCUUGGCCUUUCCUCAGAAUCACGUCGGGGUCACCAUAUUGCCGCGUUCUUUUGGAAAAAAGUCUGCAGAUUCAGGAUCGCUUUAACUCACUUUAUUUGGUAAUGUUUUUGACUAGUCUCUAGGAAGCAAAAGGAGGGGAAUUGUAUGGGCACGCUUGGAGAUACACUUAGUAGGGCAUCAGAAGAUGUGUUACCUGGAGCGUUCUAGCCCCCUGGGCUAUGUGUUGUGACUUAUCUACUGGGCAGGCGUGGACUCAGUUAUGUGCUCUGAUUGGCUAAGCAUGGUGCUGAACUCCCGCCCCCUGGAUACCCGUAUGUGUCUUUAUGCUGUCCCUUGCGGCUAUGUGUUGGCAUUGCAACUUUGUUUGUGGCUAUGUGCGGGAAUUACACUUGUUCUUGUGUCCCUGAGCAUCUGGGUCUCUCGAACAUCUUGACCGCUCGUAUCUCUAGAAUUGACACAUGAUGAAUGGCCUCCUUUAUGAUCUGGACGCCUCCCUAGGCUCUGGAUCCCUCCUUAGCGUGGGAAAGAAGACUCUUUAAUUGGUAAGGGCACAUGUGGCCUGUUGGUAUGAAUGUGUGAAUUAUGUUACAACACCUCUAAGCAAUCUUUGCUUUAUGAAUCACAGAGUGCCUACAAGUGUGCGCAGCUGAAUCAGCUUCAAAUUCCGCCCUGUACACGCCCCUUUUUAACCAUAAAUGGUCAAUGCAAACGACCUCAUGAAUGUGAUCUGCAUAUAAAACAGUAUCAGAUGCAAGUAUUAUGUCUUGUCGGAAACAUUGGCAGAAGGACUGAGAAAAGCAAAAAAGCGAAAUUUCACAGAGGUUGAAGUGUGGGUGAGGUGGAGGCCCGAAAAGUAGUUUUGUUCGGCGGUCACGGGAUUGGGAUCACUAACAAAAAAAACAGAGUGAGUGGCAACAUGUUGCUGCAGCAGUGAACUCUGUCAGUGGCACGGAGCGCACAGUCCCAGGAUUAAAAAAAGAAGUGGACAUAAAGGUACAUAUUUUUAUGUACCAAUAAAUCGUUAUGGUCCCUGAAGACCCUCUCCCUCCGUAUCCUGCCAUUUGCAUGGUCCUCCAG